rnacentral:rRNA from 1 species
CCUACGGGUGGCAGCAGUGAGGAAUAUUGGUCAAUGGGCGGGAGCCUGAACCAGCCAAGUCGCGUGAGGGAAGACGGUCCUAUGGAUUGUAAACCUCUUUAGGCGGGGAGCAAUGCCGGGCACGCGUGCCCGGAGGGAGAGUACCCGCAGAAUAAGCAUCGGCUAACUCCGUGCCAGCAGCCGCGGUAAUACGGAGGAUGCGAGCGUUAUCCGGAUUUACUGGGUGGAAAGGGCGUGUAGCCGGGAAGUCAAGUCAGAUGUGAAAACUGGAGGCUCAACCUCCAAAUUGCAUUUGAUACUGUUUUUCUUGAGUACUGGAGAGGCAGACGGAAUUCCUUGUGUAGCGGUGAAAUGCGUAGAUAUAAGGAGGAACACCAGUGGCGAAGGCGGUCUGCUGGACAGCAACUGACGGUGAGGCGCGAAAGCGUGGGGAGCAAACAGGAUUAGAUACCCGAGUAGUC